UACGGGGGGAGCAAGCGUUGUUCGGAUUUACUGGGCGUAAAGGGCGCGUAGGCGGUCAGCACAAGUCAGUUGUGAAAUCUCCGGGCUUAACUCGGAAAGGUCAACUGAUACUGUGCGACUAGAGUGCAGAAGGGGCAACUGGAAUUCUCGGUGUAGCGGUGAAAUGCGUAGAUAUCGAGAGGAACACCUGCGGCGAAGGCGGCCUGCUGGGCUGUUGCUGACACUGAGGCGCGACAGCGUGGGGAGCAAACAGG
rnacentral:rRNA from 1 species